AACAACAACAUCCUGUCAUUUCUAAAUCGUUUUCUGCUUUUAUUUAAACCGAUCAGCAUGAGGAGUAGAUGGUUAUGAAAAUACGUAUAUUGUUUUUCUUCUUCAUCCUUCUUCUCUGAACUCUCUCUUUCUCUGCACUUUUUUUGCUUGAAUAUUCGAUCGUAUCAAAGGUAUCAGAGACAACCGAUCCUCAUGGCCACCGAUGGAGUUACCACACGUCAACAAAAGGAAAUGGGGUUGCU
rnacentral:lncRNA from 1 species